AUUGAACGCUAGCGGGAUGCUUUACACAUGCAAGUCGAACGGCAGCGCGGACUUCGGUCUGGCGGCGAGUGGCGAACGGGUGAGUAAUGUAUCGGAACGUGCCCAGUAGCGGGGGAUAACUACGCGAAAGCGUAGCUAAUACCGCAUACGCCCUACGGGGGAAAGCAGGGAUCGUAAGACCUUGCACUAUUGGAGCGGCCGAUAUCGGAUUAGCUAGUUGGUGAGGUAACGGCUCACCAAGGCGACGAUCCGUAGCUGGUUUGAGAGGACGACCAGCCACACUGGGACUGAGACACGGCCCAGACUCCUACGGGAGGCAGCAGUGGGGAAUUUUGGACAAUGGGGGCAACCCUGAUCCAGCCAUCCCGCGUGUGCGAUGAAGGCCUUCGGGUUGUAAAGCACUUUUGGCAGGAAAGAAACGUCGCGGGCUAAUACCCCGUGGAACUGACGGUACCUGCAGAAUAAGCACCGGCUAACUACGUG
rnacentral:rRNA from 1 species